GCUGGCGGCGUGCCUAACACAUGCAAGUCGAACGAGAAAGUGGAGCAAUCCAUGAGUACAGUGGCGUACGGGUGAGUAACACGUGACUAACCUACCCUCGAGUGGGGAAUAACCUCGGGAAACCGGGGCUAAUACCGCAUAACAUCUUCGGAUCAAAUGCGUAAGCAGCUUGAGGAGGGGGUCGCGGCCGAUUAGCUAGUUGGCGGGGUAAUGGCCCACCAAGGCAAUGAUCGGUAGCCGGCCUGAGAGGGCGCACGGCCACACUGGAACUGAAACACGGUCCAGACUCCUACGGGAGGCAGCAGUGGGGAAUUUUGCGCAAUGGGGGAAACCCUGACGCAGCAACGCCGCGUGGAGGAUGAAGCCCCUUGGGGUGUAAACUCCUUUCGAUCGGGACGAUUAUGACGGUACCGGAUGAAGAAGCACCGGCUAACUCUGUGCCAGCAGCCCGCGGUAAUACAGAGGGUGCAAGCGUUGUUCGGAAUUAUUGGGCGUAAAGGGUGCGUAGGCGGUGCGGUAAGUCUGUUGUGAAAUCUCCGGGC
rnacentral:rRNA from 1 species